rnacentral:rRNA from 1 species
UACAGGGGGUGCAAACGUUGCUCGGAAUCAUUGGGCGUAAAGCGCACGUAGGCGGUCUGUUAUGUCGGAUGUGAAAGCCCUUGGCUUAACUGAGGAAGUGCAUCCGAAACUGGCAGGCUAGAGUACUAAAGAGGGUCGCGGAAUUCCCGGUGUAGAGGUGAAAUUCGUAGAGAUCAGGAGGAACACCCGGGGCGAAGGCGGCCCUCUGGCCUCGACCCUGACGCUGAGGCGCGAAAGCGUGGGGAGCGAACGGG